AUUGAACGCUGGCGGCAGGCCUAACACAUGCAAGUCGAACGAGUGGCGGACGGGUGUGUAAUGUCUGGGAAACGGCCUGAUGGAGGGGGAUAACUACUGGAAACGGUAGCUAAAACCGCAUACCAUCAGAGGUGUCCAGAUGGGAUUAGCUAGUAGGUGGGGUAAAGGCUCACCUAGGCGACGAGCCCUAGCUGGUCUGAGAGGAUGACAAGCAACACUGGACCGGAAACACGGUCCAGACUCCUCGGGAAGGCAGCAGUGGGGAAUAUUGCACAAGGGCCGCAAGCCGGCUGCAGCCAGGCCGCGUGGAUGAAGAAGGCCUUCGGGUUGUAAAGUACUUUCAGCGGGGAGGCGUUACCCUAAGAAGAAGCAACGGCUAACUACGUGCCAGCAGCCGCGGUAAUUC
rnacentral:rRNA from 1 species